rnacentral:sRNA from 1 species
CCAGCACCUGGCCCCCCCUCCGCCCACCCCUGGGGCCCCGUGCAGCGAGUCAGAGCGGCAGAUCCGGAGCACAGUGGACUGGAGCGAGUCAGCGACAUAUGGGGAGCACAUCUGGUUCGAGACCAACGUGUCCGGGGACUUCUGCUACGUUGGGGAGCAGUACUGUGUAGCCAGGAUGCUGCAGAAGUCCGUGUCUCGAAGAAAGUGCGCAGCCUGCAAGAUUGUGGUGCACACGCCCUGCAUCGAGCAGCUGGAGAAGGUGGGUGGGUAGCUUAGCUUUGCCCGCCCCUGCCCUUUGGGUGCUGAGGCUCUUUCAACGUGCACACACGCCCACACUUUAUACAAACAUGGCCUGCCAGGAGUGACCCAGCACUGGGGGGUGAAGAGUCAAGGACCCUGGAGCCAAAUGCCUGCGUUCGAAUCCUGGCUCCUCACUGAUUAGCUGCUGUAUCCCCACUGCCUGGAACAAACCUGGCGCCUAGUGGGUUCGUUGAAUAUCAUUCAAUGGAAUGAAUUGACAAAUGGUGGCCCUUGUACCAUUUCACCAUGUCCAAACUAGUGCUUAGAAGAGACCAUUGAUUUGCUGAAGCUUCAUAACUCAGCGGUGGCUACACCCUGCCUCUGUGGAGACCUUUCCCCCCAAGGGCCAUUGUCCACUGUGCAUUUGCAGCUGGGGGCAUGUCUGGGCACUAGUGCUUCUAGAGGUGGAGGCAGCACUGGGCAGGCGGGUCAAGGCCAGGGGCAGAAGGGUUCGCAUGGAGGGGCAGUGCUUCCCAGCCUGCAGAAACCCAGGCCAGCAUACGAGAGAGACUGUAAGACUAGGAGUGGCUCAGGCAGGCUCACACAGGCUGCUUUCCCCAGCCUCUGAAUUGUAAAGUGAGGCUUCCUUAUACCUCCAAUAAGGCUGAAGUAGGGACAGUUAUGCGAAGGGAAAUAGAAAUGCAUCCCCAAGCACUGUACACUCAUCAUCUAAGGUGGAAAUCGAGCUAGGGUUCCACAAAUUAGCUAAAGGUCUCCAGGGGCCAGGCUGGCUGCAUGUGUCCAGGUCGGGAGUGCCAGAGGGCGAGGAAGAAAAGGAUGCGGCCGCGUGUGGUGGCUCGCGCCUGUGAUCCCAGCACUUUGGGAGGCCGAGGUAGGUGGAUCACCCUGAGGUCAGGAGUUUGAGACCAGCCUGGCCAACAUGGUGAAACCCCAUCUGUACUAAAAAUCAUAAAAAUUAGCCAGGUGUGGUGGUGCACACCUGUAAUCCCAGCUACUCGGGAGGUGGAGGUUGCAGUGAGCCGAGAUCGCACCACUGCACUCCAGCCUGGGCAACAGAGCGAGACUCUGUCUCAAAAAAAAAAAAAAAAAAAAAGAGCAAACCAUGGUCCCAUGUUAGUGGGGGAGAUGGACCCGAAGCUCCCAACCUCCCCCUCUUCCUGGGUAGUGGGUGGAAGCAGCAAAGAUCCCUCUGGCUAGUGAGGAGGAGGCAGAGAGGCAGGAGGGCUUCUCACGGGAGGUAUCUCGUGUUUCAAGGACUCUCGUGAUGAUUUGGGGGUAUCCCCGCCUUGUGAGGAUGACUCUGGGUUGUCCUGGAGGGAGUGACCACAUACCUGACCCCGAAGGGAGGUUCUGACAUUUUGGUGGUCACUGCCAUGUUUCACAGAUAAAUUUCCGCUGUAAGCCGUCCUUCCGUGAAUCAGGCUCCAGGAAUGUCCGCGAGGUAAGUGCCCAGGGUGGUCAGGGAUGGGGCCACCCUAAGAUUCCUGCAUGGGCCUCUGCGCAGUGCCCUGGAGUGCCACCAGGGGGCUCGGCUCCCUCUAGGCUACUGCUCGCUGAGGUCUGAGGUCUGAGGUCUGCCAUGCGGAGGCCUAACUAGCGCUGCCUGCGGAGGGGAUGGGACAGCUUGUGCCUCUUGGUGCUUCCCAGCCUUCUUUAUCCCUCUGAGUCUGAGCCUCCCCCAGGCCAUGAAGAGAGUAUUUAGCCCCUCCUCCACUCAUGCGCAGGACUGCAGAGCGCUUCCUGCAGCCCCCUGUAUUGAGCCAUGUGGGCAGUCCUCAGGACUGUGCCCCUGCCCACCCCUCACCCAGUGACAUUUUUCCCCUUCUCCCUCAGCCAACCUUUGUACGGCACCACUGGGUACACAGACGACGCCAGGACGGCAAGUGUCGGCACUGUGGGAAGGGAUUCCAGCAGAAGUUCACCUUCCACAGCAAGGAGAUUGUGGCCAUCAGCUGCUCGUGGUGCAAGCAGGCGUACCACAGCAAGGUGUCCUGCUUCAUGCUGCAGCAGAUCGAGGAGCCGUGCUCGCUGGGGGUCCAUGCAGCCGUGGUCAUCCCGCCCACCUGGAUCCUCCGCGCCCGGAGGCCCCAGAAUACUCUGAAAGCAAGCAAGAAGAAGAAGAGGGCAUCUUUCAAGAGGAAGUCCAGCAAGAAAGGGCCUGAGGAGGGCCGCUGGAGACCCUUCAUCAUCAGGCCCACCCCCUCCCCCCUCAUGAAGCCCCUGCUGGUGUUUGUGAACCCCAAGAGUGGGGGCAACCAGGGUGCAAAGAUCAUCCAGUCUUUUCUCUGGUAUCUCAAUCCCCGACAAGUCUUCGACCUGAGCCAGGGAGGGCCCAAGGAGGCGCUGGAGAUGUACCGCAAAGUGCACAACCUGCGGAUCCUGGCGUGCGGGGGCGACGGCACGGUGGGCUGGAUCCUCUCCACCCUGGACCAGCUACGCCUGAAGCCGCCACCCCCUGUUGCCAUCCUGCCCCUGGGUACUGGCAACGACUUGGCCCGAACCCUCAACUGGGGUGGGGUAAGCACCCAUAGGAGGGGGGUGCAGCUGGGGCCUCUCCAGCCACAGAGGGCUCAGUCCCUGCCUGCUCCCCCAGGGCUACACCGAUGAGCCUGUGUCCAAGAUCCUCUCCCACGUGGAGGAGGGGAACGUGGUACAGCUGGACCGCUGGGACCUCCAUGCCGAGCCCAACCCCGAGGCAGGGCCUGAGGACCGAGACGAAGGCGCCACCGACCGGUUGCCCCUGGAUGUCUUCAACAACUACUUCAGCCUGGGCUUUGACGCCCACGUCACCCUGGAGUUCCACGAGUCUCGAGAGGCCAACCCAGAGAAAUUCAACAGCCGCUUUCGGAAUAAGAUGUUCUACGCCGGGACAGCUUUCUCCGACUUCCUGAUGGGCAGCUCCAAGGACCUGGCCAAGCACAUCCGAGUGGUGUGUGAUGGAACGGACUUGACUCCCAAGAUCCAGGACCUGAAACCCCAGUGUGUUGUUUUCCUGAACAUCCCCAGGUACUGUGCAGGCACCAUGCCCUGGGGCCACCCUGGGGAGCACCACGACUUUGAGCCCCAGCGGCACGACGACGGCUACCUCGAGGUCAUUGGCUUCACCAUGACGUCCUUGGCCGCGCUGCAGGUGGGCGGACACGGCGAGCGGCUGACGCAGUGUCGCGAGGUGGUGCUCACCACAUCCAAGGCCAUCCCGGUGCAGGUGGAUGGCGAGCCCUGCAAGCUUGCAGCCUCACGCAUCCGCAUCGCCCUGCGCAACCAGGCCACCAUGGUGCAGAAGGCCAAGCGGCGGAGCGCCGCCCCCCUGCACAGCGACCAGCAGCCGGUGCCAGAGCAGCUGCGCAUCCAAGUGAGUCGCGUCAGCAUGCACGACUAUGAGGCCCUGCACUACGACAAGGAGCAGCUCAAGGAGGCCUCCGUGCCGCUGGGCACUGUGGUGGUCCCAGGAGACAGUGACCUAGAGCUCUGCCGCGCCCACAUCGAGAGACUCCAGCAGGAGCCCGAUGGUGCUGGAGCCAAGUCCCCGACAUGCCAGAAACUGUCCCCCAAGUGGUGCUUCCUGGACGCCACCACUGCCAGCCGCUUCUACAGGAUCGACCGAGCCCAGGAGCACCUCAACUAUGUGACUGAGAUCGCACAGGAUGAGAUUUAUAUCCUGGACCCUGAGCUGCUGGGGGCAUCGGCCCGGCCUGACCUCCCAACCCCCACUUCCCCUCUCCCCACCUCACCCUGCUCACCCACGCCCCGGUCACUGCAAGGGGAUGCUGCACCCCCUCAAGGUGAAGAGCUGAUUGAGGCUGCUAAGAGGAACGACUUCUGUAAGGUACUAGCUCCAGGCUCCAGUUCCUUCCCCCAGCAGUUCCCUCGGGCCCUGGGGAGCGAGGCCUCUGGGUUGGGCCAAGAGCUGACCUGCUCAGGUGCUGUCAUCUGUCAUCGUCUGGCCCUCUGUGGGAUCUCCAGUGAUCGUCCCAUUCCACUUUGCCGUAUCUCUGUCUAGGCCACAAUAGAUGGCUCCUAGUAGGGGCUUCCUAGCUCAGUCCACCUGUCCCUGGUGCUUAGAAAGGAGCAGGUCAGAGGAAGCACUGCUCCAGGGCUUGGUCACCAGUGCUGCCAGAGAGCCCCACAGGCUGUGGGGUGAGAGGCCCCUCCUCUGGUGCUCCAGAGAGACCCACAGAGGCAACUCGGGAGUAAGAUGUGUGAGCGCACUCGUUUCAGGCCUGUGCUGGUGUACCCAGCUGUGGGCCAGCGUGUGAGCUCGGGGAAGGAGGGGUGGCUCCAGGAGGUCCAGCCCUGCCAUGCCUCCUGCUCUCAGCUCCAGGAGCUGCACCGAGCUGGGGGCGACCUCAUGCACCGAGACGAGCAGAGCCGCACGCUCCUGCACCACGCAGUCAGCACUGGCAGCAAGGAUGUGGUCCGCUACCUGCUGGACCACGCCCCUCCAGAGAUCCUUGAUGCGGUGGAGGAAAAGUAAGUAUCUGGGCAGUGCAGAACCCUGGUCACCCCCGAAACCACCCUUUUCCCCACCCCUCCCAUUUUGUCAGGUCAGAGCCCAUAAACUUCCUGGCCACAUAUGUCAUCCCCUGGGCCACCCCUAUUGCCCCAGAGCCCCAAACUUCCUGCCCUUUCUCAUGGCCCUUUGGAGACAGAUGGGUGGAUCAGGGGAUGGGAUGGGGUACACAGCCAGCCCCUGCUCCCCCAGCGGGGAGACCUGUUUGCACCAGGCAGCAGCCCUGGGCCAGCGCACCAUCUGCCACUACAUCGUGGAGGCCGGGGCCUCGCUCAUGAAGACAGACCAGCAGGGCGACACUCCCCGGCAGCGGGCUGAGAAGGCUCAGGACACCGAGCUGGCCGCCUACCUGGAGAACCGGCAGCACUACCAGAUGAUCCAGCGGGAGGACCAGGAGACGGCUGUGUAGCGGGCCGCCCACGGGCAGCAGGAGGGACAAUGUGGCCAGGGGACGAGCGCCUUCCUUGCCCACCUCACUGCCACAUUCCAGUGGGACGGCCACGGGGGGACCUAGGCCCCAGGGAAAGAGCCCCGUGCCGCCCCCUAAGGAGCCGCCCAGACCUAGGGCUGGACUCAGGAGCUGGGGGCCUCACCUGUCCCCCUGAGGCCCCCGCCCGACCCGGAGGCUCACAGGGAACAGGACACGGCUGGGUUGGAUAUGCCUUCGCGGGGGGUUCUGGGGCAGGGCGCUCCCUGGCCGCAGCAGAUGCCCUCCCAGGAGUGGAGGGGCUGGAGAGGAGGAGGCCUUCGGGAAGAGGCUUCCUGGGCCCCCUGGUCUUCGGCCGGGUCCCCAGCCCCCGCUCCUGCCCCACCCCACCUCCCCCGGGCUUCCUCCCGGAAACUCAGCGCCUGCUGCACUUGCCCGCCCUGCCUUGCUUGGCACCCGCUCCGGCGACCCUCCCCGCUCCCCCGUCAUUUCAUCGCGGACUGUGCGGCCUGGGGGUGGGGGGCGGGACUCUCACGGUGACAUGUUUACAGCUGGGUGUGACUCAGUAAAGUGGAUCUUUUUUCUU